rfam:Corchorus olitorius cultivar O-4 contig19564, whole genome shotgun sequence.
UUGCAAUGAUGAGGUUUUGGAAUCAUUGAAAAGCAUUUUUUCAAUGCUUGAUGAGACUUCGACCAUUGUGUCGAUCCUGAGCGGUUACCUGAGCAA